UACGUAGGGAGCAAGCGUUGUCCGGAAUCAUUGGGCGUAAAGCGCGCGUAGGCGGCCCGGUCAGUCCGUCGUGAAAGUCAAAGGCUCAACCUUUGAAUGUCGAUGGAUACUGCCGGGCUAGAGUCCGGAAGAGGCGAGUGGAAUUCCUGGUGUAGCGGUGGAAUGCGCAGAUAUCAGGAGGAACACCAAUAGCGGAGGCAGCUCGCUGGGACGGUACUGACGCUAAGGCGCGAAAGCGUGGGGAGCGAACAGG
rnacentral:rRNA from 1 species